rnacentral:pre_miRNA from 1 species
GAUCUACUCCCUCCGUCCCAAAAUAAGUGACUCAAAAAUGACUCAAAUUUGCAUUUGAGUCACUUAUUUUGGGACGGAGGGAGUACUCAAAAAUGACUCAAAUUUGCAUUUGAGUCACUUAUUUUGGGACGGAGGGAGUACAAC